GAUGAAGAACGCAGCGAAAUGCGAUACGUAAUGUGAAUUGCAGAAUUCAGUGAAUCAUCGAGUCUUUGAACGCACAUUGCGCCCCCUGGUAUUCCGGGGGGCAUGCCUGUCCGAGCGUCAUUGCUGCCCUCAAGCACGGCUUGUGUGUUGGGCCUCCGUCCUCCUCCCGGGGGACGGGCCCGAAAGGCAGCGGCGGCACCGCGUCCGGUCCUCGAGCGUAUGGGGCUUCGUCACCCGCUCUUGUAGGCCCGGCCGGCGCUUGCCGACACAUCAAUCUUUUUUCCAGGUUGACCUCGGAUCAGGUAGGGAUACCCGCUGAACUUAACCAUAUCAAUAAGCGGAGGA
rnacentral:misc_RNA from 1 species